rnacentral:misc_RNA from 1 species
UUCCCUUCCUUUCCGGUUUCCAAUCGCCACCAUGGAUCCAUCCGACCUCACCACCAUCGAGGACGAGGACAGCCCGCUCAUGAAGACGAUCAAGGGCGCCACCAUGGGCCUCACCGCCGGCACGAUCUGGGGAACGAUCGUUGCGUCGUGGCACGACGUGCCGCGUGUCGAGCGGAGCGUCGCCCUACCGGGGCUGAUCAGGACUCUCAAGAUGUGCGGCAACUACGGGAUGACAUUUGCUGGGGUGGGAGGGUUGUAUAUCGGCGUGGAGCAGCUGAUGCAGCAUAAGCGGGCGAAGAAGGAUUUCAUUAAUGGGGCGGUGGGGGCGUUUGUUGCUGGCGCUACUGUUUAUGGAUAUAGAGGCAGGAGCAUUCAGACUGCACUCUCUGCAGGAUCACUGCUGGCUUUCACUUCUGCUGUGCUCGAUAUUGGUGGGCAGAAAACAAGGGUGGACACUGGGAAGGAGUACUACCCCUACACUACCGAGAAAAGGCCCGUCUCGUAGUUCUUCUUUGUUUGGAUGAGUUGGAGUUUUGGAUUCCAACAGGUUUGUUGAAUGUACUUCUGCUCUCAGAUGAGUUGAGCUUGUCGAGGAACGACUGUGCUGUUAUCAUAAGCCAAGAAGAUUAAAUCUUGAAAUAAGCUUUGUUUGAUUUUGUGGAAUGGGAUGGUAGG